GGGGUUGUGGCGCAGCUGGUAGCGCGUAUGCUUUGCAUGCAUAAGGUCCUGGGUUCAAACCCCAGCGGCUCCA
rnacentral:tRNA from 1 species